UACGUAGGGUGCGAGCGUUGUCCGGAAUUAUUGGGCGUAAAGAGCUUGUAGGCGGUUAGUCGCGUCUGCUGUGAAAAUCCGGGGCUCAACCCCGGACUUGCAGUGGGUACGGGCAGACUAGAGUGUGGUAGGGGAGACUGGAAUUCCUGGUGUAGCGGUGGAAUGCGCAGAUAUCAGGAGGAACACCGAUGGCGAAGGCAGGUCUCUGGGCCACUACUGACGCUGAGAAGCGAAAGCAUGGGGAGCGAACAGG
rnacentral:rRNA from 1 species